rnacentral:SRP_RNA from 13 species
UGGAAAGCCGGCCAGGCCUGGAAGCGAGCUCCUCCUUGCCAAUAGCGGUCGCCUGACGACGCGCGAUUGGUGUUUGCCGGGCGGGCGC